UACGGGGGGGCAAGCGUUGUUCGGAAUUACUGGGCGUAAAGGCUCGUAGGCGGCCAACUAAGUCAUACGUGAAAUCCCUCGGCUUAACCGGGGAACUGCGUCUGAUACUGGAUGGCUUGAAGUUCGGGAGAGGGAUGCGGAAUUCCAGGUGGUAGCGGUGAAAUGCGUAGAUAUCUGGAGGAACACCGGUGGCGAAGGCGGCAAUCCUGGACCGAGUACUGACGCUGGAGGAGCGAAAGCCAGGGGAGCAAACGGGGA
rnacentral:rRNA from 1 species